AAAUGAAUCGGCGAUGACGUUCGCCAUUAAUAAUUGACUAUCAAUUGAUGACGUCUACUGAAUC
rnacentral:ncRNA from 2 species